rnacentral:rRNA from 1 species
AGAGUUUGAUCCUGGCUCAGGAUGAACGCUAGCGGCAGGCUUAACACAUGCAAGUCGAGGGGUAUAGUUCUUCGGAAUUAGAGACCGGCGCACGGGUGCGUAACGCGUAUGCAAUCUACCUUUUACAGAGGGAUAGCCCAGAGAAAUUUGGAUUAAUACCUCAUAGUAUGGCGACAUCGCAUGAUGAUGCCAUUAAAGUCACAACGGUAAAAGAUGAGCAUGCGUCCCAUUAGCUAGUUGGUAAGGUAACGGCUUACCAAGGCUACGAUGGGUAGGGGUCCUGAGAGGGAGAUCCCCCACACUGGUACUGAGACACGGACCAGACUCCUACGGGAGGCAGCAGUGAGGAAUAUUGGACAAUGGGCGCAAGCCUGAUCCAGCCAUGCCGCGUGCAGGAUGACGGUCCUAUGGAUUGUAAACUGCUUUUGUACGGGAAGAAACACUCCUUCGUGAAGGAGCUUGACGGUACCGUAAGAAUAAGGAUCGGCUAACUCCGUGCCAGCAGCCGCGGUAAUACGGAGGAUCCAAGCGUUAUCCGGAAUCAUUGGGUUUAAAGGGUCCGUAGGCGGUUUAGUAAGUCAGUGGUGAAAGCCCAUCGCCCAACGGUGGAACGGCCAUUGAUACUGCUAGACUUGGAUUAUUAGGAAGUAACUAGAAUAUGUAGUGUAGCGGUGAAAUGCUUAAAGAUUACAUGGAAUACCAAUUGCGAAGGCAGGUUACUACUAAUGGAUUGACGCUGAUGGACGAAAGCGUGGGUAGCGAACAGGAUUAGAUACCCUGGUAGUCCACGCCGUAAACGAUGGAUACUAGCUGUUGGGAGCAAUCUCAGUGGCUAAGCGAAAGUGAUAAGUAUCCCACCUGGGGAGUACGUUCGCAAGAAUGAAACUCAAAGGAAUUGACGG